GGAAAAGAGCUUAAAGAGAAAGCUUGGAGAAAGAAGAGUCUCAUAUAGCCCAGACUGGACUAGAACUUAAAAGUCUUUUGCCAGGCUGAGGAGAUGGCUCAGCAGUUAAGAGCACUGACUGCUCCUCUGAAGUUCAAAUCCCAGGAACCACAUGGUGGUGGCUCACAACCAUCCGUAAUGAGAACUGACGCCCCCUUCUACAUUGUCUGAAGACAGCUACAGUGUACUCACA
rnacentral:lncRNA from 1 species